UACGGAGGGUGCGAGCGUUGUCCGGAAUCACUGGGCGUAAAGGGCGCGUAGGCGGCCUGAUAAGUAGGGGGUGAAAUCCUGCGGCUUAACCGCAGGGCUGCCUUCUAAACUGUCAGGCUCGAGCACAGUAGAGGCAGGUGGAAUUCCCGGUGUAGCGGUGGAAUGCGUAGAGAUCGGGAAGAACACCAGUGGCGAAGGCGGCCUGCUGGGCUGUUGCUGACGCUGAGGCGCGACAGCGUGGGGAGCAAACAGG
rnacentral:rRNA from 1 species